rnacentral:rRNA from 1 species
CAGGCCUAACACAUGCAAGUCGAGCGGUAGCACAGAGAGCUUGCUCUCGGGUGACGAGCGGCGGACGGGUGAGUAAUGUCUGGGAAACUGCCUGAUGGAGGGGGAUAACUACUGGAAACGGUAGCUAAUACCGCAUAAUGUCACAUGACCAAAGUGGGGGACCUUCGGGCCUCAUGCCAUCAGAUGUGCCCAGAUGGGAUUAGCUAGUAGGUGGGGUAACGGCUCACCUAGGCGACGAUCCCUAGCUGGUCUGAGAGGAUGACCAGCCACACUGGAACUGAGACACGGUCCAGACUCCUACGGCAGGCUUAGCAGUGGGGAAUAUUGCACAAUGGGCGCAAGCCUGAUGCAGCCAUGCCGCGUGUGUGAAGAAGGCCUUCGGGUUGUAAAGCACUUUCAGCGGGGAGGAAGGCGAUGAGGUUAAUAACCUCAUCGAUUGACGUUACCCGCAGAAGAAGCACCGGCUAACUCCGUGCCAGCAGCCGCGGUAAUACGGAGGGUGCAAGCGUUUCAAGUCGGAUGUGAAAUCCCCGGGCUCAACCUGGGAACUGCAUUCGAAACUGGCAGGCUAGAGUCUUGUAGAGGGGGGUAGAAUUCCAGGUGUAGCGGUGAAAUGCGUAGAGAUCUGGAGGAAUACCGGUGGCGAAGGCGGCCCCCUGGACAAAGACUGACGCUCAGGUGCGAAAGCGUGGGGAGCAAACAGGAUUAGAUACCCUGGUAGUCCACGCCGUAAACGAUGUCGAUUUGGAGGUUGUGCCCUUGAGGCGUGGCUUCCGGAGCUAACGCGUUAAAUCGACCGCCUGGGGAGUACGGCCGCAAGGUUAAAACUCAAAUGAAUUGACGGGGGCCCGCACAAGCGGUGGAGCAUGUGGUUUAAUUCGAUGCAACGCGAAGAACCUUACCUGGUCUUGACAUCCACAGAACUUUCCAGAGAUGGAUUGGUGCCUUCGGGAACUGUGAGACAGGUGCUGCAUGGCUGUCGUCAGCUCGUGUUGUGAAAUGUUGGGUUAAGUCCCGCAACGAGCGCAACCCUUAUCCUUUGUUGCCAGCGGUUAGGCCGGGAACUCAAAGGAGACUGCCAGUGAUAAACUGGAGGAAGGUGGGGAUGACGUCAAGUCAUCAUGGCCCUUACGACCAGGGCUACACACGUGCUACAAUGGCAUAUACAAAGAGAAGCGACCUCGCGAGAGCAAGCGGACCUCAUAAAGUAUGU